GAUGAACGCUAGCGGCAGGCCUAAUACAUGCAAGCCGAACGGCAAGUUUGAUAGCAAUAUUAGACCUAGAGUGGCGCAAGGGUGCGUAACACGUAUGCAACCUGCCCGCGACAGGAGGAUAGCUCCCCGAAAGGGGAAUUAACCCUCCAUAACACCAUGAGAAGGCAUCUGAUUAUGGUUAAACCGCACGGGGUCGCGGAUGGGCAUGCGGUUGAUUAGCUAGUUGGCGGGGUAAAGGCCCACCAAGGCGGUGAUCAAUAGGGGUUCUGAGAGGAAGGUCCCCCACACUGGCACAGAGAUACGGGCCAGACUCCUACGGGAGGCAGCAGUAGUGAAUAUUGGACAAUGGGUGCAAGACUGAUCCAGCGAUGCCGCGUGCAGGAAGAAGGCCUUCUGAGUCGUAAACUGCUUUUUCCAGUGGAUAAAAGACCCGUGCGCGGGGAAUUGAAGGUAACAGGAGAAUAAGCCACGGCUAACUACGUG
rnacentral:rRNA from 1 species